UGCAGCCAUGUCAAAUUCAGUACCUGCCCACCCAUGGCGGGCACUGGCCCAAAAGGCUGCCUCAAAACACUGUAACACAUGGGCCCUGAGCCUCCUUCCUGGGCUCAGGGAUAAAUUUGUUACAGACACUA
rnacentral:snoRNA from 1 species